AGGCAUGAUUCAGAGCAAAUGUAUGAGCAUUUUUAUUUCAUUUCCACCUCAAAGCUAAAUCAAGUCAAAUUCAGGUGUAUACCUGGAACUGUAUUGAAAUAGAAGAGAAGAAGAGAGUCAGGAGCAUUAAACUCUAGAAAACCAACAACAACAGGUUCAAUUUCAGCCCAAAAACAUGCUAAAACGCCCAGGAACGAUUUUUAAAAGGCCAAACAAUAGUAAAUCACCCUAUUCAGAUCAGAUGCAGCCAAAUAGACUAAAGUUUUACCCAAAAAUCCUUGUGGAUUUGAAUUCACGAAAGCUGAAGAUGUUCAAACCAUUUUGACCUCCUAUGAAUCUAGAGCUUGAUCUAAAAGCUGAAAUUCAAGCUUAACCUAAGGUGGUCUUCAAUGAAACAACGCUUUGUGGAGUAUUUCUAUUGCCUUUGUUUUUGGUUUCUUGAAGGAACUAAGAUCUAAGAUGAAAAUUUCUGAACUCUAGGAGUUCAGCUUUUAGUAGUUGAAUUUGAAAGUUAAAUUUAGAUGCUAGAACUUGCAGAAAAAAUUUUUGGGGAGAAUUUUAGAUGCUGAAACCUUUGGGAAUUUUCAGGAGGGCUCCCAACUUGUUAAAGAAGGCAAUGGAGUCGCCUUUUAUAGGCAGAAAUAAGGGGGAAGCUUCCAGAUUUCACUCGCCCCUUUUUCCCCCUUUUUUAUUCAAGUUUAUAUUGAUUAAACCUUUAUUUUUUUACUUGUUUCUCAAGUUACUGCUCUAAGUUUCUGAAAUUACAAUUGGCACCCCAUCUAGAAUAUUCUAGGGUUUUGUGAUUCAGUUAUUCAAAGAUUCUCUUGUCUAAAAUACCUAAACUGCCCUUUUAUUUAAUUUGAAAUUACCAACCUAGAAUUAACUAAGCCUAGCCACUUUACCUUAGUUAGUGAUUGUGGUCAAUUAUUCAAAAAAUGAAAAAUUCAGCUAAAUCCAAACAAAUCAGAGAAGGUCAUCCUAAAUAAAUUAAUUCUAAUUGCAACAUUGGGUAAUCAAUGAACUAACAGGGCUAAUAUCAAUUUAACAAGAACAUCCAUGGAUCAAUUAAUUUGAACCAAAUACAAAAAUCAAAUGAGAACAAAAUCAAACCAAAAGUAACAACUAAAACAAAUCAGAAUCAAUUAGUGAUGCAGAAAAUUUUAUCAGAUGAGAGAAAAAGCUUACUGACUUAACAGAAACGUAAAGUAAUUCUAAAGCACUGAAUAGAAACAAGAAUUAUGCCCUAAUGACAAAACUAAAUGAAUCAAAUCAUGUCAUAGAUUAUUAGUACACAAACAAGAUGACACGAACAAAUAAAAGCAGAUAAGGAUUAUGACUCCACACGGAUAAAAAACUCAAAUCAAUUAAAUCAUGAAGCAAAACCAUCAUGGGAGCGAAAUUAAUUCUGAUAACUAAACAAUAAGAAAAAAUAAAAGAAAUUUAAAAACUCACCGGUGUAACUUCUAUAGUCUUGCCAUUUCUCAGAUUUAAAAAUCGAGCAACUCCGUUAAGAUUCUAAGGCCACUGAUUAUAGAUUCAGAACAAGGGAAGUGAGGAGAUCACAUAGUAUCAAUUUGGUGAGGUUUGGGGAAUUUAGAGUUUUGGCCAGAACUUUGAUUUGAUAUUCGAGGAGCUUGGUGGGGAUUGGAGGGACGGAGUUUGGGGGUUUGGAAAGAGGAGAGGAAGGUAGUUCUAAGGUGUUAAUUUGAAUGGGAUUGAGUGAGUUAAGGUUUUGACCGAAAUCUUUGAUGCAAGAUUCGAGGGGAUUGGCUAGGAUUUGGGGAAAACUAGUAAUGGAUUUGGAGUGGGGAGAAGGAGGUGGUUCAGGGGUGUAUUUUUUGGCGAGUUUGGAGACCAUCCGCCGCCGUUAGGCGAAUUCCGGCAACGAUUUUGGGGCGGAGCCGGUGGCGUUACAUUUUAUGAUAAUG
rnacentral:lncRNA from 1 species